AUUGAACGCUGGCGGCAGGCCUAACACAUGCAAGUCGAAUGGUAACAGGAUACAGCUUGCUGUUUCGCUGACGAGUGGCGGACGGGUGAGUCAUGUCUGGGAAACUGCCUGAUGGAGGGGGAUAACUACUGGAAACGGUAGCUAAUACCGCAUAACGUCGCAAGACCAAAGAGGGGGACCUUCGGGCCUCUUGCCAUCAGGUGUUCCCAGAUGGGAUUAGCUAGUAGGUGGGGUAACGGCUCACCUAGGCGACGAUCCGUAGCUGGUCUGAGAGGAUGACCAGCCACACUGGAACUGAGACACGGUCCAGACUCCUACGGGAGGCAGCAGUGGGGAAUAUUGCACAAUGGGCGCAAGCCUGAUGCAGCCAUGCCGCGUGUAUGAAGAAGGCCUUCGGGUUGUAAAGUACUUUCAGCGGGGAGGAAGGGAGUAAAGUUAAUACCUUUGCUCAUUGACGGUACCCGCAGAAGAAGCACCGGCUAACUCCGUG
rnacentral:rRNA from 1 species